CACCGCUUGGUGGAAAUAUUGCCGCUACAGGACGGGCUCUAGUACGGCCGAAAGGUAUCUGGAAAGACCCCGAUGGCAAACAAGGAG
rfam:Firmicutes bacterium CAG:170 genomic scaffold, scf92